rnacentral:rRNA from 1 species
AUUGAACGCUGGCGGCAGGCUUAACACAUGCAAGUCGAGCGGGGUGAUGGUGCUUGCACUAUCACUUAGCGGCGGACGGGUGAGUAAUGCUUAGGAAUCUGCCUAUUAGUGGGGGACAACAUCUCGAAAGGGAUGCUAAUAACGCAUACGUCCUACGGGAGAAAGCCGGGGAUCACUUGUGCCCUUGCGCUAAUAGAUGAUCCUAAGUCGGAUUAGCUAGUUGGUGGGGUAAAGGCCGACCAAGGCGACGAUCUGUAGCGGGUCUGAGAGGAUGAUCCGCCACAAUGGGACUGAGACACCGCCCAGACUCCUACGGGAGGCAGCAGUGGGGAAUAUUGGACAAUGGGGGGAACCCUGAUCCAGCCAUGCCGCGUGUGUGAAGAAGGCCUUAUGGUUGUAAAGCACUUUAAGCGAGGAGGAGGCUCUUUUGGUUAAUACCCAAGAUGAGUGGACGUUACUCGCAGAAUAAGCACCGGCUAACUCUGUGCCAGCCGCCGCCGUAA